CCCAACCACCCAGGGCCCAAGUUCCCAAAGCUGGGCGGGAUUCCUGGGUCGAGAGGAAAGCGAAGAGAAAGUUUAGCUACUUUGCAUCGACCUUGGAGCUGAAGGUCCCAAACUUCAGAGAGUGUUUUUGGAAGGAACAUUGGAGGUCAAUUAGUUCACUCCUUUUAUAGAGGACUCUUAAGAAACCACUCAGAUAUAACGUCAGAGCUUGGACUGGUUGAAAGGCUUGGCAUUGCAAUGACAGAAUACAAUUAUAAAGAUUGGAGACCAUGGUUUUUAGUUUGUAGAAGUAUAUAUAUUUGGCAGCUGGGCAGCCCAGUAGAUUGAGCAUCAGGCCUGGAGUCAGGAAGACUCAUCAUCUUCCUUUGUUCAAAUCCGGCCUCGAGACGCUAGC